rnacentral:rRNA from 1 species
AUGAUUUCCAGGUGCCGCAUCUAUCCUGUCAUCGUUGCACACGGUCAUCCAUUUCUUAUCCACCUCAUCCCACCACAGGCCACACAUCUCCGGCCACGCGGGACGCCCACGGCCCCCCUCCGCCGUCGGAUCUCGCAACCACCAGAUCCCACCCGUCCACUGCCCACCCAAACCCUCUCUUCCACUCUCCUCUUCCCAGCAGACCAGAGCCAGCCGAGCCAGCUGCUCCACACCACUCCCCACCCCACGCUCCACGACGCGCGCGAGCGAGCCAUGGCCGCCCUCCGCCUCGCCUCCUCCAUCACCCUCUGCCCGGCGGCCGCGGCCGCGUCGCCCUCGUCGGCCGCCGCGCCCCGCGCCGCCUCCUUCGCCUGCGCGGUCGCGCGCGGGCUCCCCUCCCUCCGCCUCGCCGCGCCCCGCCGCCGCCGCGGCGACAUCGGCAGGCCCAGCGCCGCCGGCGCCGAGGCCGCGGCCGAGAACUACGCGACCGCGCUCACGGAGGUGGCCGCCGAGAGCGACUCCCUCGACGCGACCGUGGCCGACAUGGAGAAGCUGGAGAAGAUCUUCGCCGAGGAGGCCAUCGCCGAGUUCUUCGACAACCCCACCGUGCCGCGCGAGGAGAAGACGGCGCUCAUCGACGAGAUCGCCAAGUCGUCGGAGCUGCAGCCGCACACCGUCAACUUCCUCAACGUGGUCAUCGACAACACCCGCGCCAGCCUGAUGCCGCAGAUCGUGCGCGAGUUCGAGACCGCCUACAACGCGCUCACCGGCACCGAGGAGGCCGUCGUCACCUCCGUCGUGCAGCUCGAGUCGCAGGACCUCGCGCAGAUCGCCACGCACGUGCAGAACAUCACCGGCGCCGCCAACGUCCGGAUCAAGACCCGACUUGACCCGGAGCUCAUCGCCGGCUUCACCGUGCAGUACGGCCGCGACAGCUCCAACUUCAUCGACAUGAGCGUCCGCAAGCAGAUCGCGGAGAUCACGUCCGAGUUCGAGAUGCCCUCCGUCAACCUCGAAGUCUGA